rnacentral:rRNA from 1 species
UACGUAGGUGGCAAGCGUUGUCCGGAUUUACUGGGCGUAAAGAGCGCGCAGGCGGUCGUUCAAGUCGCGUGUGAAAGCCCCCGGCUCAACUGGGGAGGGUCACGCGAUACUGAUCGACUCGAAGGCAGGAGAGGGAAGUGGAAUUCCCGGUGUAGUGGUGAAAUGCGUAGAUAUCUGGAAGAACACCAAUGGCGAAGGCAAUGUUCUGGGCCGGCACUGACGCUGAGGAGCGAAAGCGUGGGGAGCAAACAGG